rnacentral:rRNA from 1 species
UGGGGAAUAUUGGACAAUGGGCGCAAGCCUGCUCCAGCCAUGCCGCGUGAGUGAUGAAGGCCCUAGGGUUGUAAAGCUCUUUCACCGGUGAAGAUAAUGACGGUAACCGGAGAAGAAGCCCCGGCUAACUUCGUGCCAGCAGCCGCGGUAAUACGAAGGGGGCUAGCGUUGUUCGGAUUUACUGGGCGUAAAGCGCACGUAGGCGGACUUUUAAGUCAGGGGUGAAAUCCCGGGGCUCAACCCCGGAACUGCCUUUGAUACUGGAAGUCUUGAGUAUGGUAGAGGUGAGUGGAAUUCCGAGUGUAGAGGUGAAAUUCGUAGAUAUUCGGAGGAACACCAGUGGCGAAGGCGGCUCACUGGACCAUUACUGACGCUGAGGUGCGAAAGCGUGGGGAGCAAACAGG